UACGUAGGGUGCAAGCGUUGUCCGGAAUUAUUGGGCGUAAAGAGCUCGUAGGCGGUCUGUUGCGUCGGCUGUGAAAACCCGGGGCUCAACCCCGGGCCUGCAGCCGAUACGGGCAGACUAGAGUUCGGCAGGGGAGACUGGAAUUCCUGGUGUAGCGGUGAAAUGCGCAGAUAUCAGGAGGAACACCGGUGGCGAAGGCAGGUCUCUGGGCUGACACUGACGCUCAUGCACGAAAGCGUGGGGAGCAAACAGG
rnacentral:rRNA from 1 species